UACGGGGUGUGCAAGCGUUACUCGGAAUCAUUGGGCGUAAAGGGCGCGUAGGCGGCCUGGUAAGUCAGAUGUGAAAGCCCGGGGCUCAACCCCGGAAGUGCAUUUGAUACUGCUGGGCUUGAGUAUGGGAGAGGGAAGUGGAAUUCCUGGUGUAGAGGUGAAAUUCGUAGAGAUCAGGAGGAACACCGGUGGCGAAGGCGACUUCCUGGACCAAUACUGACGAUGAGGCGCGAAGGCGUGGGGAGCAAACAGG
rnacentral:rRNA from 1 species